GACAGAGGGGGCAAGCGUUAUUCGGAAUCACUGGGCGUAAAGGGCGCGUAGGCGGCUUCAUAAGUCAGGGGUGAAAUCCGGCAGCUUAACUGUCGCAGUGCCUUUGAUACUGUGGAGCUCGAGGGAGGUAGGGGUCUGUGGAACUUCCGGUGGAGCGGUGAAAUGCGUUGAUAUCGGAAGGAACGCCGGUGGCGAAAGCGACGGACUGGAUCUCUUCUGACGCUGAGGCGCGAAAGCCAGGGGAGCAAACGGG
rnacentral:rRNA from 1 species